AUGGUUUUUCUUUUGCUUUUCCACUCUUUCAAAAACCACCAAGAGAACACGUCAUCGUCCUCCACUGGGAGAGAAUCAUGGUGCCACCUUUCUCCCCCUAUGGCUGAAGACCACAAGAAGAUGGCAGGCUGGGCUUCUGCUCUUCAGUCAGCAGCCGCCAGGAACUGGAGCUGGAACUGGCGAGAUGAUGUCACGCAGCUUUUCACUGACCAGGAAACCGCGAGCGUCCGAGCGUCCGAGUCUUCCCGUGAAAGCCCCCAGUCGGUGGGGUGGCGGCUCUGGUCAGCUCUGGGGCUUCUUUUCCUUCCUGCCCUCCGGGAGAAGCGAAAGUCGCCCGACCAGGAAACCAGCCCCAGGGGCGCUGAAGGAGAGAGGAUCUAAUGGCUCCAGCUCUCUAGGCCUCAGGUGCAGAGGGGUAGGAAGACCAACCAGAUUUCUAAAGAAAAAGAUACUUCAGACCCUCCCAGGAACUGGAAAAUAUUGAUUGCUUGAUUAAAUAAAGCUUGAGAAUUCAUGUGUCUGAAGCAAUUUUUUUCAGGCUGCCCUGUUUCCAUAUCUGUAAAACAUUAUUAAUAAAUUUUGAUCCUUUACUGUAUCAAACAUGUUACAUUAGUAUUAUGUAAGGCUUAGAUAACAAAAUAAUAGAAAAAUAAAAUAAUAGAGCUGAAAGUG
rnacentral:lncRNA from 1 species